AACGCAUAUUGCGCCCUUUGGUAUUCCGAAGGGCAUGCCUGUUCGAGCGUCAUUAUCAACCCUCAAGCCUGGCUUGUCAUUGAACCUCAUGGUCGUUAAAAGACAGGUUCGAAAGAUAAUGACGGUGUCGCGAUCGACCCUAGAUGCAACGAGCUUCACAGCACGCAUGUUAGUGGCCGGCCGGCCCCGGUCUUAACCCUAUUUCAAUGGUUGACCUCGGAUCAGGUAGGAAUACCCGCUGAACUUAA
rnacentral:misc_RNA from 1 species